UACGUAGGGUGCAAGCGUUGUCCGGAAUUAUUGGGCGUAAAGAGCUCGUAGGCGGUUUGUCGCGUCGAAUGUGAAAACCCGGGGCUCAACCCCGGGCCUGCAUUCGAUACGGGCAGACUAGAGUUCGGUAGGGGAGGUCUGGAAUUCCUGGUGUAGCGGUGAAAUGCGCAGAUAUCAGGAGGAACACCGGUGGCGAAGGCGGGACUCUGGGCCGAUACUGACGCUGAGGAGCGAAAG
rnacentral:rRNA from 1 species